GAUGAACGCUAGCUACAGGCUUAACACAUGCAAGUCGAGGGGCAUCAGGGUAGCAAUACCGCUGGCGACCGGCGCACGGGUGAGUAACACGUAUCCAACCUACCAUUCACUCGGGGAUAGCCUUUCGAAAGAAAGAUUAAUACCCGAUAGUCUAGGAAUAAAGCAUUUUAUUUUUAGUAAAGAAUUUCGGUGUUUGAUGGGGAUGCGUUCCAUUAGAUUGUUGGUGAGGUAACGGCUCACCAAGUCUUCGAUGGAUAGGGGUUCUGAGAGGAAGGUCCCCCACAUUGGAACUGAGACACGGUCCAAACUCCUACGGGAGGCAGCAGUGAGGAAUAUUGGUCAAUGGACGAGAGUCUGAACCAGCCAAGUAGCGUGAAGGACGAAGGCCCUACGGGUCGUAAACUUCUUUUAUAGGGGAAUAAAGUGGAGAACGUGUUCUCCUUUGUAUGUACCCUACGAAUAAGGAUCGGCUAACUCCGUGCCAGCAGCCGCGGUAAUACGGAGGAUCCAAGCGUUAUCCGGAUUUAUUGGGUUUAAAGGGAGCGUAGGUGGACGUAUAAGUCAGUUGUGAAAGUUUGCGGCUCAACCGUAAAAUUGCAGUUGAUACUGUAUGUCUUGAGUGUACAAGAGGUGGGCGGAAUUCGUGGUGUAGCGGUGAAAUGCUUAGAUAUCACGAGGAACUCCGAUUGCGAAGGCAGCUCACUGGGGUACAACUGACACUGAGGCUCGAAAGUGUGGGUAUCAAACAGGAUUAGAUACCCUGGUAGUCCACACAGUAAACGAUGAAUACUCGCUGUUUGCGAUACACUGCAAGCGGCCAAGCGAAAGCAUUAAGUAUUCCACCUGGG
rnacentral:rRNA from 1 species